rnacentral:lncRNA from 1 species
CAGCAAAAGGUCCUAACAACUCCACUGUGGAGUGGACAGAGCCCAAGGAAGGCCACUUGUCUGCAGUGGGGUGGCAAAUGCCACCUGGACGGUCAGCGCCACCAGCUGAAACUCACAGUUAAGAUCCCAGGGCGAUCCCAGGCCCCGGAACCGUGGGAUUCCAAGUGCUGCAAGGGCAUCUGGCCCAGGGGUUCAGUGGAGCAGCAGCUGGGAAGGCACUCCCGCCAUCUCUUUUUUUUUUCUUUUUUAAAGAUAUUUUUAUUAGUGCAUUAUAUUUACACAUAAUAGUGGGGUACAUUUGAUGUAUCCUACAUGCAUGGAAUAUCAUUUGAUCCAUUACAGUCCCCCGCUCUUCCUCUUUCCCUCUCCUCCUUCCUCUCCAUAUUUCCCUUUUAGGAUAAAUUUGGAAAGAACAGACCACAGACCUUGAUAACAAGUUGGGCAUGAGAGGUAAAGGAGAAACGAAGGUAAGAGAUGACCCCUAGUCUGCACUUUUCUAGUUGUGUCCAUAGUAGUGCCAUCUACUGAGGUAGAACUGAUUGGGGAAGAUGAGGUUUCCCUGCCCUACUUGCUCUCUUUAUUCCUUGACAAUCUGCAGCCACCCUCAAAAGCUCUAUCUCAAAUUCCACCAUCAGAGAAUCUAUAGUUCAUGUUGAUGUAUAGAAUUUCCUGGUCUCUAUUAACUCUACACACUUCUCCCCAGGAAAUCACUUCUUUUCCUGUGGCUUCCAUUACUGUCUUUAUGUCGAUGACUGCCAAUAUUCUAUUUCUAGCCCUCCACUCUUCUCUAAGCUCCAAGCCAUAUGGCCAACCAUCUAUUGAAUGAAUAUCUUCCCUGAUAUCCCACAUGCACCAAAUUCUACCUUGAACCAAAUCACAAUUUUCAUAUUACUCCCUGUAUAUCUCUCUUCAGUAUUUCUAGUUGGAUCAAUGUCCUACUGUAUGACCAAAGUUCCCUGACCCAGGAGCACAUAAGUCAUCUUUAUCUGCUCUUAGUCCCCAUAUAUGACCCAACACUGA